UAGCUUCUUAUCUCAGGGCGUCCACCGUCAUCGUCGAUAGCCCCGGCUCUUUCUCUGAGAACGUUGUGCGAACACCACCGUGCAGUCACGCACCCUCCCUCCCCCCACAUACACGACAACGAGCGAGCGCGAAGACGAGGGAAGGUCAAAAUGCCCGAAGAAGUCGUGCUCAUGAUGGACCUGAAGGGUGUCCUGACAUCAUCUCCGUUCCCCGCUGCACGGCGCCUUGCAGAGAACAUGAUGCGGUGCGUCUUCGAGCGCGCUAGCUCGCACAUUAUAGUGAAGCGCAUCCAGGAACGGCCCGUGCCGUUUCUGGCGAAGAAGUACAGCAACUUUUUCUUCACCGUGGCGAAGUUCACAGAGCGCACGCGCGGGUUGAAAGGUGCCUUCGAGCGACUGGAGCUGGGCGAGCUGAAUCGGCUGGAGUUUAUCACGGCUUUCAGGGAGGAAAUCGAUUUUAUGCUGCUCGCCCUCUCCAAGCAAAACCCAGAGGAGCUGGAAGCUAUGAACAUUGCCUUUCCCAAGAAGGUCGAUGCUCUCAAGAAGCGCUUCCCGCUCCUCUGCGACCCUGUCGUGCAGGUGCACAUCCGCGAGCUGCUGGAUGUUGAGGCCUUCUUGUGCACCAUCGAGAAGGUUUCGCCGCGCAAAAAUGUGCUGAACCUGCUGCACUACCUGCGCACCAAGAGUCAGCAGGAGAUUCGCCUCUUCGCCAUCGGCAACGCGUGGGAGUUCGAGGGGCAGUACCGACGUAUGGUGACGGCCAUGAAGUACUCGGUGACCGACUCUGUCUCCUUUGCCUACCCGGUCAUCUGCCCCGUCGAGUACGGCGAGAGCGCCGGCUCCUACCAGAACAGCUUCCAAGUGACGGGCCUCUUCGAUGGAUAUGUGCAGAGCUACAUCUCCCACAAGCGCAAGCCGUAUCCUGACAUCUUCAUGCAGGCGCUGGAGGAGGUGUGCACAAGCCGCGUCCCCACCGGCGAGGCACUGCGCUACGAUAUGAAGCCGAACAUCUUCUACUUUGACGACGUGGAGGCGCACUGCGAGGUGGCCCGCGGACUGCCAGGCAACCCGUUCACAGACGUCUUGCUGAUUGAGGAUGGCGCGUGCGACGUGUACAAGGACAUUGUGCGUGCUUUGAAGAUGGUCGCGGAGAAAGACCCUUUCUGGGCUGAGGUGGUGGCCGGCGUAGAGAAAGAGAUCGCCCCGAUGUUCAGGCCAUCGAGGACCCCAGACGGCAGGCCCACCUCGUGGGUGACGGAGGAGCUGCAUAACUACAGCAACAAUUUGCUCUUCGUCGGACCGCCACCGAACGAUCUGUGCUCGCCGGUGAGCACUCUCGAAAAGGACCGCUACCGCAUGGACGAGGAGGACCAAGAGCGUAUUCUCUUCUACUGCGCGCAGCAUCUGCCUCACCUCUUUCCCCUGAAGAUCCCGCCGCGGCCAGAGGCAAACAUGAAUCUACGCACACAGCCGGGACUGGCCACUUCGGCCGGCCCCGUCCUCUUCGAGUACGUCGAAGGCAGCCGCUUCUUUGAGUCGUACCGACUGACGCUGCGCACCGGCAGCUACAUCUUGCGAAUUCAGCCGCGCGGCCCGUCUCCUUACGGUUCCGCCGACAUCCGCCGCGAGUACGAGACAAUGGCGCACCUCUACGAAACUUCACCGGGGCUGCAGAUCCCAACGCCCCUGUUGUACUGCGACUCCUACGCUGUGUGUGGACGCCGCUUCUUCCUCCGCCGAUACCGCGACGGUGAGAACAUCAACGCCAUUUCGCAGCUGAUUCAGCCGCGCAUUCGCCGGCCUUACUCUCUGCGACGUGUGUCGAUCAAUGUGGAGCUCCGACCCAAGCUGUUCUACAAGCAGGCGAUUGCAGUGCUCUCGGUGCUGCAUAAUUCGCCGCUGCCGCCCUUCAUGAAGCAGGCGGAGGAAGAGAUGCGGCGCACGAAGCGGCACAAGCACCCGCUGCUGGCCAUGGUGGAGGAAAGCAUUGAGAUGUACAAGUUGGCGCUGUCCAAGAGCGGCACCGCUGGCCGCUUUGGUGUUCAGCUGCGCUCCGCCACAGUGGAGGAGCUGUCGCGCGGCAUUUUGGCCUGCUUUGACCAGACGCAGCUGUCGCACCAGAUGAUCCCAAUGCCGGACCGCCUCGUCGCCCUGCACGGCAACUUCAACCUAUCCUCAGUGCUCUUCACGCACCGCUCACUGGAGGGCCGUGCAAAGUACCCGCCGCAUUUGAUUGGCAUGGUGCAGUUUAAGUUCACUCGACUCGGCGACCCGCUCGUCGACGUCGCGUCGGCGUCGAUGUUCUGCUUCCUCAGGCAGCCCGAGGGCAUCUAUGACGCAUCACACGAUAUCCAGAUUCUCUUUCCGUCUCCGAGCGACCUCCUCGAGAUGUACUGCAGUGCGCGCGGCUACAUGCUGCACCUCGACCGUCGCCGCCGCGACGAUAUCUUCAAGGUAUACCUGGCCAGCCUCUGCCUUCAGCAGGCCACGAUGCUCAUUACCGACAUCGUGUCUAGCACCAUUUCGCCGCAUGCGAAGCGCUACUCCGAUUCUCGCAGCAUUGCGCAGGCGGAUCAGCUGGCGAAGCGUGGCCUUGACGUCCUCCACAGCCGCACGGCAGCGAAGCUGUAAGGAGGCCCUAUGCGAAGUCACCGCAUGGCUUGCAAUUUGGCAGGGACUUGAUGGGAGGGAGCCAGCGCUGCGAAGCGCUGAGGGGGAAGCGGUUUCACCGUCUCCCUCUCUGUCACGUGUUCCAGCCCCCCCCCCCCCCCCCCCCCCCCGAUCAACGAGGAACGCCGCUCCACACGGCAGGCCACCUUCUCCCCGACGAACACACACACACACACACACACACAACAAAACGAAGACGACAGGAGACCAUCGGCUUGCGCACGCUCUCCCUGUGAACUAACAAGUCAUAAACGAACGAACGGAGCGCUGCCCGUGGACAGCGUUCACAUUGCAUUAACUCGUGGGAGGGGUGGGGAUGGGGGACUGCUAAGGGAGCGACAACCGAAAGGUGAGCUGAAAGUGACUGAACUCCGCCGCUCCUCACGCUAUCUCUCCCGUCGUUGAUCAACUUCUGCCGGUCUGUGUCUCGGUGCUUGGGCGCAUAUGACUGUCUAGGCGCGGGAGAGCGCGAAGACGAUGUGCGCGCGAGAGCGCAACCGAAUAUCGACAGCACAAACCAGACCGAAGGUUUCCGUUAAACACGUGAAGUAUACGCACACACACGGAGGAGCCCCGAAAACGCAUUUUUCUACUUUUUUUUUUCUUAAUGACGUGUUUCACGUGCAUGCUUUGCUUCGCUGAGGGAAUCAAGCGGUGCAAUCGACCAGCGUGCGUGGCUGUCAUGGCGCCUCUUUCGUUGGUGCACCCUUCUGCACUCGUCUUUGCCGGGCCUAUCGCGUCGUCAUGAAUGCUGCAUGCGUGCGUCUUACACGUACGCUUGCGCUGUGCGUGUGCGUCUCUCUGUGUGUUUCCGUUCUGGUGGGCGUUGUCUGCGUGUGCUCGGGAGCCUUCUAUGCGUUGUUGCGCUUGCGGCGCGUGUGAGUUCUUGUGCGAGCGCAGAGAUUACCUGGAUGUAACUCGAGGACAAAGAAGGAAAAUGGAAUAAGUGCGGCUGAGUCUUUGGAAAGCGCGAGCGCAGUAGUCGUGGCACUGGCCUUCCAGAAGCGACGCAGCGGUCGAUUCUAUAGGUAGUUUCUGACGCCUUGGUGGACUGUCCGAAGUUGCGGGACGUCUGCGUCUGCCUGGCUCUGGGCACACGCCUACUUUGCUGAGGCUGCACUGCCACAGCAACAGUCUGCCGAGAUGGAUUGUCUUGGCUAUCCUGCAGUGUUCGCCUGCCGGCCAUUCCAGUCUAUCGAGACGGCGUCCUCUCCUCCCCCCAUCUCACCCCUCGCUCACUCGCCCGUCGCCUCGUGGUGGUCGCAUAUGGAAAGCUUGUAGUCCUUUCCGAAUCGCCGUUCUCGGAUGAGUGGAGUUGUUGGACGACACAGACACAAAGACACCUGCACAAGCGCAGGUAAGGACACUAACACACGCUGUUAUGUGCGACUGUGACUUGGUGGCGCUUAAAAAGCGCGCGCAUAAACGUCUGCGCGCUCGUGUCCUGCAUGCAUCAGAAACAAAGUAGC
rnacentral:misc_RNA from 1 species